GAUGAACGCUAGCGGCAGGCCUAACACAUGCAAGUCGAGGGAGUAGCCUUCGGUCUUCGACCGGCGUACGGGUGCGUAACGCGUAUACACUCUGCCUUUCACAUAGGGAUAGCCCGAAGCAAUCUGGAUUAAUACCUAAUGGUAUAUAGAUGUGGCAUCACCUUUAUAUUAAAGCUGAGGCGGUGAAAGAUGAGUAUGCGUUCUAUUAGCUAGUUGGAGAGGUAACGGCUCCGCAAGGCGACGAUAGAGAGGGGUUCUGAGGGUGAGAUCCCCCACACUGGUACUGAGGUACGGACCAGAAUCGUACGGGAGGGAGGAGUGAGGAAGAUUGGAGGAUGGACGGAAGACUGAUCCAGCCAUGCCGGGUGAAGGAAGACGGGGUUAGGGAUUGUAAACUGCUUGUGCAGAGGAAGAAUAAGGACUAAGCGUAGUGUGAUGACGGUACUAUGAGAAUAAGCACCGGCUAACUCCGUG
rnacentral:rRNA from 1 species